UCGCAGGGAGGAGUCAUGGGACGAGAAACGGAAAGACUACAUCUCCCAGGCCGCCACGCUUUCCAGCUGGAGUCCCAGGGCGCCGGCGGCUCCCCAGUUUCCGUAGGGAAGCGCCGGGCUACUGCAGCUAUUGUGCGUAGUGAUAUCGCCCUCCUCUUCCCUCUCGGGUGUCUAGGGUGGAAGGCUACGUUUUAUUGCCUCCUAGGCUUAACCCGUCCGGAGACUGACAGGACAGCAGGCCGGCUCCCUUGGACCAGGAAGAACUCUUGGGAGCAAGAACACUUUGGUAACGCAAUCCCAGGGUGCGUGGAGAACAGUUGGAGAAGGAGCCGGAGUGCUGAGGCUCGGCACAAGGGUUCGCUGGGGUUGGGCGGCAGCUCUGGCUUUAAGAAGGGGGAGGGGACAGUACAAUCAGGGCUGCCCGCGGAGUUCGGCAAAGGAAAUCUUCAGCUAGCUCGGGAACAAGGAGCGAGGAGAGGAGAGUUCCAGCCCCCGUGCUCACCACAGCCUACACCCUGGGCGGGCAGAAGUGUCACGUUUGCAGUUGCUCUGGAAGGAUCCCGCUGCUCUCCGGGGGCAAGCUGGGCCGCCUGUCUGGGGAGGCAAUGCCUUGGGGGCAUGCUGCUUGCUAGGCAGAAGAACCCAGCCCGGGUCGGACCGCAUUAGUUUGCUUUGCGUGUCACCUGAAGCAAUUGCUGGCCUCCCGCUUCCGGUACAGGCCAGCCGGCUCUACCCGGGAAUCUCAACCGAACAGAACCAUGGGGCACCCCCCGCUGGAGUUCAGCGACUGCUACCUGGACAGCCCUGAUUUCCGCGAGAGGCUCAAGUGUUAUGAGCUGGAGCUGGAGAGGACCAAUAAAUUCAUUAAGGACGUGAUCAAAGAUGGCAACGCGCUUAUCAGCGCAAUGAGAAGUAAGUGGAAGGCUUCGAUGGAUGAGCCGUUUCCUUGAGCCAGUGACUCUGGCCUUUAAGCUCUUCGACACUACAGGGAAAGGGAAGAUUCAGGGUGAUUCCCAAUCCUGUUCUCUUAGGCGAAUGGGUUUCUGAACACUUCGGCAGUGGGGUCAGUAGAAGUGGAGGGUGGUGGCUGUAACUAGAACUUUGGGCCUUUCCCUUUAGUGGCCUUGACCUUAUAAGACAGGAUCUGUACCUGUGCCAAGGAAUCUCUUACUCUGCACCUAUUCUUACUUGGCAGGUUGUUCCGAGGGGGCAAUUUGCCUGUACUGUCAGACAUGUUUAGUGCUCAUGUUUGGGUAAAGAGACAUCCAAGCUGACCAAGGAACUGCCCCUAGCACCUCCUAGAGAGGAGGGGAUUGAGGCCGGCAGCUUGAGUAAUGAUUUGUCCCAGCCUGUAGUCGCUACAGAUACAGAUGGGGGCAGAAAAAAAUUCCCUAUCUCAACUUGUUUUCUAAGGAAAGCACCUUUGCCCCAGUGAUUUUUUUUUUUUAAGUUACUGAGCUAAGGUUUUGGUCAAAGUCAGUCUAAGCUCAGAAUUAUUGGAUGGCCUCACAUUCCACUGCAUUUUGCUUGGGGGUGAAAUAAAGACCUGCCUAGCACCUGACACAAGGAUCCCAGCCCCCCCAGGGAGCAUAUUAUAGGGCCAGGGUUAAGAGCCACUGGUCUGCAGGAAUCUCACCUAACUUAGCUUUCCCAGUGGUCACAGCUGACAGCUGUGGGACCCUACCCCCUUUCCCUACUUGUUGAGUUUUUAUUUCUGCUAGUUGGCAGAAGACUUAGAGUAAGAGAAAGAAUAAUAAACAUUCCUGACAGGAGUGCAAGCAAGCUAGCCUUUUGUGCCAGAGUGUACCCAGAAGAAUGGGGGGGGCAGUGAUUGGGUGGAGUGAUCAUUUUUUCCCUUCUUGGCUGAAAAAUGACUGCGAAAAAUAAAGUCACUGGUCAGAGUUACUUGUAAAUAUGUCCUAUAUAUUUAUAACUUUUUUCUGAAUGGAUUUAUCCCCAAAAGACUGUGUCUAAGUCCAGUGUGGUGACCUCCUUUGAGGCAAAUACAGCCAAUGAAGAACAGGGAGAAAGGCAGUGGUUACUGCUUUUUUAUGCAGCUCUUACUGAUUUGCUCCUGGGAGUCCGCUUUCACUGCUGGUGUUGUCUGCACAUUUGGUCAGAAUAUAUGAAUUGUCCAAGUUCCUGCCAGUCACUUGAUUGAGCUUGAUUAUUUAACGCUUUGUACUAUUGUGGUCUAAAUAAGAGCACACUCUUGGCAGCACCUUAAAGAUGGGGAAUUUUGAAAUACUGGUCCUUAGAGACUUCUAGGCCAGCUUUUGGAGUAUGUUGCCACUUAAUCAAAUUUAUUGAGAGGUUAAAGGUAUGCAGGUUAUACCACAAAAGUAGUUAGAAAGGUUGAGGGCUCAUUAAAAAGGAAAGAGGAGAAUAUUUGGAUUAAAAACAAUUACUGUGAUAAACUGCUUGGUGUAGCCUCUGCAGUCAAAUAUAGCUUGUCAUAAGCCCCAGGAAGUGGAUGGUUUUGAGAAGUGUAUGCUAAGCAGAAAGUGUUUGUGCUAAAAAGUGACCUGCUAAGGCACAGCAGAGAGAUUCAGAUUUUUAAGAAAAAAUAAACAGUGCAAUAAAACAUUUGAGGAAGGGCAAAUUUUUGUAAGCUUCGGGCAAGUCAUGGUUUUUAUUCCUUCCUUCUUUUCUGAGACUAAGAGUGGUAAGAGUCAAUAAUUAUGCAGGCCUAAACUUUUGCAGAUGGGUAGAAGAUCCAAGAAAUCAUUUUAGCCCAUGGGAUAUUCUGGAUAUUCAGGGUGGUUUUCUGUUUGUGAAUAUACAUAGAAAGCCAAAAUAGGACAGGUAGGAAAUAAAACAAAGCAGCUAACCCACACUCCAUUUCUUUCCUUUAAGUUGCACAAUUCUAAAAACAUGAUUAGGUAGAGGCACAAGCGGGAUGUUUCCUGCUGUCUUGACCACAGUAAUGUUGAUACUCCCACUCUACUUCCUCACACUGUGCUAGCUUUCUGAGAAUAAGUGGGGAAGCAAAACAAAGGUAUGCUUUUGCUUUGUGUGGAGGAAAUAGGAAAAGAGAACACCAGAGCUGGAGUUAGAAGACCUGGCUUCACCAUCUUGGGAUAAGAUGGUACAAAUUGCUGACUUUAUCUGUUAAAUGGGGGGAAUUAUACCCACCUCACAGGGUUGUGGUGAGACUCAAGGGAGUAAAUAGAUUAUGAAAGUGUUUUGUAAAUGGAAACAGCUAAGCAUUGGAAGUUGUUGAUAACAUGUCUUUAGGCUAAUAAUGUAUCUGCUGGUGAAUGUGUAUUUUUAAUGAGGUUUCUGAAGGGAAAUGCAUAAGCAGAAGUAGUUGGAAGCAUAUUUUUUGCUGUCAUCUUAUUGGAAAAUGUCACUCCCUUCAUUUAUUGGCAUAUGUCAGCAGUUAAUUUUGUAUUCAUAUGUGGGGAUUUGUUUUGGCAGUUGGAAUAUGGCAUUAAAGUCAUGAAGAAUUAUAGACACCUUUAUAUUUAACUUACUAAACUGACUAUCAAAUCAAAUGGCUAGUGUUCCUAGGAACCAAUGAAACUUGGUGCAUUGUGCUGCAAAAACUAGUUGCAGUUUUUGUUAGAGUUGUUAACCUGGGUGGAACUUGAUUUCUAUGUUUAUUCUGCUUGUGUCUGAUUUUGUACAGAGCUCCAGAUGAGGUUUUAGUCACAACUGUUUGUGAUGAUUUAUUCAUUAAAUGUAGGUCCCUUUUGAAUAUUUACAUUUACUUUUGUACUCAUAGGUCAUUGAUGUUAUGAAUAAUACCGUUUCUCCCUUGGGGAAGUGGUUUAUUUCCCCCCCUUAAAUGUGAUCCAUUUAUAAUUGUUGGAGUACAAGAUGAUGAUUAUAACAUAAACUAAUGGAAAAUAAAAACAUCAUCACUGAAAGGUGAA